CCCUAGGAUGGGUCUGCGGCCGAUUAGGUUGUUGUUGGGGUAACGGCCCAACAAGCCGAUAAUCGGUACGGGUUGUGGGAGCAAGAGCCCGGAGAUGGAUUCUGAGACACGAAUCCAGGCCCUACGGGGCGCAGCAGGCGCGAAAACUUUACAAUGCGGGAAACCGUGAUAAGGGRACYCCGAGUGCCUGUACACKCAGGCUGUUCAUGUGUUUAAAACGCAUCUGGAGAAAGGGCCGGGCAAGACCAGUGCCAGCCGCCGCGGUAAUACCGGCGGCUCGAGUGGUGGCCACUAUUACUGGGCUUAAAGCGUCCGUAGCCGGGUUGUUAAGUCUCCUGGGAAAUCCGACGGCUCAACCGUUGGGCGUUCAGGGGAUACUGGCAGUCUAGGGAUCGGGGGAGGUGAGAGGUACUCUAGGGGUAGGAGUGAAAUCCUGUAAUCCUUGGGGGACCACCUGUGGCGAAGGCGUCUCACCAGAACGACUCCGACGGUGAGGGACGAAAGCUGGGGGAGCAAACCGGAUUAGAUACCCGGGUAGUCCCAGCYGUAAACGAUGCGCGUUAGGUGUAUCGGUGACUACGAGUUACCGAGGUGCCGAAGGGAAACCGUGAAACGUGCCGCCUGGGAAGUACGGUCGCAAGGUUGAAACUUAAAGGAAUUGGCGGGGGAGCACCACACCGGGUAGAGCCUGCGGUUUAAUUGGACUCACCGCCGGGAAGGUCGCCGCGUAAGACAGCGGAGUGCUAGCCAGGUUGAAGACUUUGCUUCAUCAGCUGAGAGGAGGUGCAUGUCCGUCGUCAGUUCGUACUGUGAAGCAUCCAUAUAAGUCAGGCAACGAGCGAGACCCCCACC
rnacentral:rRNA from 1 species